UAUAUUUCCAUGUAGUAAACAUAACGUUCUUAAUCGCCACUCUCAUUUUGUUUUUAACAAACUUAUUUAAUGAUCCAAAUAGCGAAAUAGUCCAUAAUGCAUUUGCAACACUGUUAAUUAUAGUUCCGUCCAUUGGAUUAUUGGUUCAAAUUAAUAGAGAAUUGUAUGUAGAUGUUCAUAAAGCCGCCCAGCUUUAUGAUAAAUACAUCAUUUCUGGGGUACUUGGCAUACUGAAUUCAAUUUUUUAUGCUGGUAGCGGAUUCAUUAAUCGAAGAAACGCUAUCUCAAGACAUUGAAUCUCUUAAAAGGCACCAAAGUAUGAAGGAUCUUGAUGGCUAAUUUUGUAUUUGGUACAACAGAUAAAAUAUGUGUUUGAUCCAGAGACUGAAAUUUUCGGGAUCUUCCUCUUCUUCUUAUUGUGAAAUUCAAUUUUAUUUUGAAAACGCAA